AAUCAACGCUGGUGGCGUGCCUAACACAUGCAAGUCGAACGCGAAAGCCCCGCAAGGGGCAAGUAGAGUGGCAAACGGGUGAGUAACACGUGGGUGACCUGCCUUCGAGCGGGGGAUAACGUCCCGAAAGGGACGCUAAUACCGCAUAACAUCCUGCCUUUGAAGAGGUGGAGAUCAAAGCUGGGGAUCGCAAGACCCGGCACUUGAAGAGGGGCCCGCGCCUGAUUAGCUAGUUGGUGGGGAAUGGCCUACCAAGGCAACGAUCAGUAUCCGGCCUGAGAGGGCGGACGGACACACUGGGACUGAGACACGGCCCAGACUCCUACGGGAGGCAGCAGUGGGGAAUUGUUCGCAAUGGGCGCAAGCCUGACGACGCAACGCCGCGUGGAGGAUGAAGAUUUUCGGAUCGUAAACUCCUGUCGAAUGGGACG
rnacentral:rRNA from 1 species